rnacentral:rRNA from 1 species
UUGACCUCGGAUCAGGUAGGAAGACCCGCUGAACUUAAGCAUAUCAAUAAGCGGAGGAAAAGAAACCAACAGGGAUUGCCCUAGUAACGGCGAGUGAAGCGGCAACAGCUCAAAUUUGAAAUCUGGCUUCGGCCCGAGUUGUAAUUUGUAGAGGAAGAUUUAGGCGCGGCACCUUCUGAGUCCCCUGGAACGGGGCGCCAUAGAGGGUGAGAGCCCCGUAUAGUUGGAUGCCUAGCCUGUGUAAAUCUCCUUCGACGAGUCGAGUAGUUUGGGAAUGCUGCUCAAAAUGGGAGGUAAAUUCUUCUAAAGC